UUGCCACCAUGUCUGCCGAAUGAUUGGCGAGAUGGGAGCUUCUUGUUGAGGUUGGUGAGGCGUCGGUCAGUUGCAGGAGCACGGAAAGCCACUGGAUCGGGCGGGCGUUGCAGCACGAGAGACGGUCCAAAACACUGCCGAACUGAUGUCGGUGUGCACGGUGACACGCUGCUGUCUACUUGGAUCCGGUGGUUCCUCGGUCAUGUGCUGAGGCUGUCCCCGCACCGACUCACGUCGUCUGCUGCAUCGAGUCAUCCUCGCCACGGCGUCCAUCAGUUCGCCUGCUUGACUAUUUUUUCUUGGGAAGGAGAUCGGGGUGAGGAGAAGAAGGGCGUUGCUGCUUGAUGGCGAUGGCUGACCUGCUUGUCGCCAGUCGACGCUCGCCUGCAAUCAAAGGCAGCAGCGAGCCAGCAACAUCGUUCCAGAUUGUCGCCUUGUGUUACUGCAGUCACUGUAACCUUCGUUCUAGCCCACGUCAGUUUCCGAAGGCCGUCAAGGAAGCGGUCGAGGAGUUUGUUGAGGUCAUCGCCGUCGGCGGAGAGUGACGAUGCUUCGAGUGACGCGAGUAAAAUCUGAAGGUCUACACGCAUCUCAAAGCAACGCCCACUAGGUAACUAUAGCCUAAUCCAGCCCUCUCUGCUGUAACGGCCCGGCCCGAUCGGGACUGCCAAUCUCCCUUCGUGUCAUCCUCCUCGAUCUCCCCCCUUCGUUCCUCCCUCGGGGCUGACCGGAUCGGCGUUUACUCUUUGGGUUUCUUGAGCUCUCAUCUCGUAUCGCUGCCGACUUGGAUGCCGGGGAGAGCUGGUGGGCGGCGCGGAUUUGCGUGUUGCGGUCUCUGAUGAAGAUCGGAUUCCUUCCAUGGUUUUCUGUGAGGGAGUUCUGCUUGUAAGGAUGAUGCUCGAUCGCCACGGUUUGUCGUGCGAUUCUUGAUUCCUUUGAAGCAGAAAUGAGGAGAACUUCAGAAGAAACAAGAGGAUAAACAAAUUCUCGAGGAGCUUCUGGAUUCCAUUAAGGGGGAAAUAAAGAACGAAGGGCAUGAUUGGGGAGUAGCUCGCAAUCGGAUAGCCUGAGGUUAGUCAUGGGUGAUGUCUCAUUGCCGCUGCUAAGCCAUCCUUUAAUGGCCUCACCUUCGUAAGUGAAACCAUCUGCUGCUAUUUGUGGAUCCCUCAUAAGCUCCUGCAGUUUCAUUUUCAACUAAUAAAUCAAAGUUGAAGUGGCAGCUACAAGAGAUGUUUCUGCAUCUUCUUUUAGUUUGAUCACAUUGCACAGAUGGGCAAAUAAUUGUUACUAGUACAGGACUUUGGUAGUAAUGCAUAUGAUUUGGAAUAGGAAGGAAAUGUGCAGGCAGCUAUGUAUUGUUCAAGCAGUAUCUAACACAAAACCAGACUACCAGAGGAAGAGUCACAACAAUGAACAUGUGUGUGUUGAUGACAAGAAUGUAAGAAGAUGUGAUGUUAUCUGAUUAGGAUAAGAGGUGGGGUUGGUAAGAAGAGACAGGGAACAUUUAGGAUAUAUAUUUAUUUGGAGAAGGAUUGUUAGAACUUGAUGAUGCAUAAAUGAUCUACUAAUGCAAAGUGGACUGCCAAGUAACUGACCUUAAAUAUUGGACAGAUGAAGUAUGAUGGAAUGCAGCUGCUGUACUCUGGAGCUAACAUAAUCGAUGAAGGCGAUAACCUGGCAAAUGAGAUGGACUUCAUCAAGGGCUGAAGCAUUUUCCAUGCCUCUUUUGCAUCUGGCCGGUUCCUCCUGUUCAUGUCACAGCAUUUCAACCCCAGUUUUGCCAACUUCUCUGCCUGCACAUAUGGCCAGUCCCCUGCAGAAGCAUCAAGUACCCUCUCCAAGCAUUUCAUAUCCAAUGCCUCUUUUACUACUUUGCUCACUCCAAAUGCUGCCCUUCCCGUUAGAAGUUGCAGAAGUAUGACUCCGAAGGAGUACACAUCAGAUUUUGCUGUGAUUUCUCCGGAUGAGAGCAAUUCAGGGUCCAUGUAAGCAAAUGUUCCCUUGCGCAGAUGCAUGCAGUGGUAGAGGGUGCUGCUGCCAAUGGACCGGACAAGCAGUCGGUUCAUACCCAAGUCACUAAUCUUGCUCACAAAGUUUGAAUCGAGAAGAAUGUUUACAGGCUUAAGAUCACCAUGGACCACACUAAGGGGUUUACGGGAGUGGAGGAAGACGAGAGCGGAGCAUAUUUCAGCUGCAAUGCGGAUGCGGACCUGCCAGGUGAGCUUGCGAGUAAGGUGGUCUUCCAAGCUUCCACCAGGAAGAUACUCGUAAACGAGAGCUCUGGCUUCUGGGCAUGCUCCUAUGAGAGUGACAAGGUCAGGACUUACCUCUCGCCGGAAUUCUGCUGUUCUUUGCUUGCCUUGUGGAUUCAACCUCUUUAUUGCCACUGUCGUAUGGCGAAGGGAGCCUUUAUAUACACAUCCGUAUCCACCUUCGCCGAUCUUUGAUGCCUCAUGGAAGUUUUCUGUUGCUUGUUCCAGCUCCGAAAGGGAGAACUCGGAGAAGUGUUCUGCUCCACGAGUGCUGGUUGUUGCUUCUUCAUUCUUCUGAUGCACUCGCUCCUGCUGCGACAGCUCAUGCUCUCCUCGGAUCGAAUCGAGGUGGCUGUAUGCCUCGGGCAAUUUGGCUUUGAUAUCCUUGAGAAUUUGGUCAGAAUCAGAUAUUUGGAGUUCCAGCGCUGCCAUCUUCUGACGUGCUUGCUGGAGUUCUUCAUUGACCUCAUCUCGCUGUUUUCUCAGUGCUGACAGUUGCAUCUCAUCUUUUGCUACCGCUUCUUCGAUUUCUUUCCUUUGUCUCACCUCUUUGUUGUAUGCAGUCUCGGCGACGUCGACCUGCGCAACGGUGCCGUGUGAGAUCAGCAUGAAAGUUGUCGUUUGUUGACCUGCAAUGAGAUCUUACCUUCCUCGCAGCCUCGCUCAGGUCCUUCUCAGCUAUCUGACGCUUGUGGAGCUCUUCAUAAGCUUCACGUUUCGUGUUAUCCGCUUCCUUCAGCGCAGCUUCCAGCCGUUCGUACAUGGCACCAUCGACACCAAGAUCCUCCUGCAACACAGAUAUGACGAAUUGUGUGUGUGUGUGUAUGUGAGCGUAUGUGAGAGAGAGAGAGAGAGAUGUGUACCAGGUAACGUUGUGGAGAUUGGAACUGAGGGACAUCUCCAGGUGCAGGAAGUGUCCGUAGAACGAGCGAUCCAUCAUCUCUGUCCGCUUCCGGCGGCACUUCCGGCGACGAAGCCAUGUUUCCGUGGAGAGAGUGGUCCGAAGCCCUCGACGCAACAUCCCACGUAUCAUUAACGCUGCUCUCUCCGCUCCCUGAGGUCGAUGAUCCCGCCGGUCCUUCACCAGGCCAAGCUGCCAUGGCCAACUGUGUGUGUGGGGAGGAAUCGGCAGAUCUUGUCGUGGGUUUGUGAGCUGCGACUGCUUCAUCAACACAGGCAUCCCUGCAAACAAGAUCCAGUAUAAUUCAUCGUUUCAUGGACAGCGUGUCUGUAGAACCACAACAACACACUGUAAUGUCUGUCUGAAAGUUCAAGCUGCGUGCCUGGUGCAGAUGAGGUUCCCUUUGCAGACAAACCAGAUCUUGCAUGAUGGAUCAGCCUGCUGCUGCACGGCCAGAGCUGUCUUCGACCUCGGACCCUUCAUUCGCCUGUGAUUCUAAAGCCUUGGCUUAGUCCACGAGUUCCACAAUUUGGCUGCAAUCGCUUCUCUUAUCGAUUGUUUUGUUGUUUUGGAAGACAGAUCAAGUUUUGGA